UAUAGGACUUUAAUACUAAUUUUUUUUCUCUAAACAUUACUUUAGGUAUAUCUCACAAUUGUUGAUCAGUUGUGUUUUCUUUUAGAUUCAUUUAAAAAUAAACAAAAGAAAUAGUCACUAGAGUGAAUCGGCAACCAACAGAAUGGGAAAAAAUUUUUGCAGUUUACCCAUCUGACAAAGGGCUGAUAUCCAGAAUUUACAAAGAACUCAAACAGAUUUACAAGAAAAAAACAAACAAGCCCAUUCAAAAAUGGGCAAAGGAUAUGAACAGACACUUUACAAAAGAAGACAUACACGAGGCCAACAAACAUGACAAAAUGCUCAUCAUCACUGGUCAUCAGAGAAAUGCAAAUCAAAACUACAUUGAGAUACCAUCUCACGCCAGUUAGAAUGGUGAUCAUUAAAAAAUCUGGAGACAACAGAUGCUGGUGAGGAUGUGGAGAAAUAGGAACACUUUUACACUGUUGGUGGGAGUGUAAAUUAGUCCAACCAUUGUAGAAGACAGUGUGGCGAUUCCUCAAGGCCUUAGAAAUAGAAAUCCCAUUUGACCCAGCAAUCCCAUUACUGGGUAUAUAUCCAAAGGACUAUAAAUCGUUCUACUAUAAGGACACAUGCACACGAAUGUUCAUUGCAGCACUGUUUACAAUAGCAAAGACCUGGAACCAACCCAAAUGUCCAUCGAUGAUAGACUGGACUGGGAAAAUGUGGCACAUAUACACCAUGGAAUAUUAUGCAGCAAUCAAAAAUGAUGAGUUUGUGUCCUUUGUAGGGACAUGGAUGAAUCUGGAGAACAUCAUUCUCAGCAAACUGACACAAGAAUGGAAAAUGAAAUACCGCAUAUUCUCACUCAUAGCUGUGUGAAGUGUCAGCUUUCCCUUUGCCUUCCACCAUAACUGACUGAAGCUGAGCAGACACUGCCAUACUUCCUGUACAACCUGCAGAACUGGUCUGCUUGUUGGAGAAAUCAUUCAAAAACAUUACUACGGAAAAAAUUGUGAUGGGGUUGGAUAUGCAGAUGACACAAACUUUGGAAACAACGCAAUGGUCAAAGGUGAUUUGUAACAUUUAAUUAACCUGAUAAUAGAAAGAUAAACAGAUGCUAUUAUUAUGUGUACUAAAUGUUCUCUGCUGGCAUAUAUUAACUGUCAUCAUACAGUAAGCUUAGGUUACGUUGAUUUGACUAAAAGAUAAUUUAUUGAGUGAAUACCACCCUUUUGCAUUGUACUCUCUGCCACUGUCAUACUAUUGUCAAGAAAUUUCUUGUGAUUUUUGUACAUUGAUUUUGUAUCUUGAGACUUUGCCGAAGUUGCUUAUCAGUUUCAGGAGAUUUUGGGCUGAGAUGAUGGGGUCUUUUAGAUAUACAAUCAUGUCAUCUGCAAAUAGAGACAAUUUGACUUUCUCCUUUCCCAUUCGUAUACCCUUUAUUUCUUUUUCUUGCCUGAUUGCUCUGGCUAGAACUUCCAGUACUAGAUUGAAUAAGAGUGGUGAGAGAGAGCAUCCCAGUCUAGUGUCAGAUUUCAAAGAGAAUGAUUCCAGUUUUUGCUCAUUCAGUAUGAUAUUGGCUGUUGGUCUGUCAUAAAUAGCUUUUAUUAUUUUGAGAUACGCUCCAUCAAUACCUAGUUUAUUGAGGGUUUUUAGCAUAAAAGCCUGUUGAAUAUUGUCAAAGACCUUCUCUGCAUCAAUUGAGAUAAUAAUGUGGUUUUUGUCUUUGGUUCUGUUUAUGUGGUGAAUUAUGUUUAUAGACUUGCAUAUGUUGAACCAGCCUUGCAUCCCCAGGAUGAAUCCUACUUGAUCAUGAUGGAUAAGCUUUUUGAUGUGCUGUUGCAAUCGGUUUGCCAGUAUUUUAUUGAAGAUUUUUGCAUCUAUGUUCAUCACGAAUAUUGGCCUGCAGUUUUCUUUUUUGCUGAAUCUCUGCCCGGUUUUGGUAUCAGGAUGAUGUUGGUCUCAUAAAAUGAUUUGGGAAGGAUUCUCUCUUUUUGGAUUGUUUGGAAUAGUUUCAUAAGGAAUGGUAUCAGCUCUUCUUUGUAUGUCUGGUAGAAUUCAGCUGUGAACCCAUCUGGACCUGGGCUUUUUUUGGGUGUUAGGCUCUUAAUUGCUGCCUCAACUUCAGCCCUUGUUAUUGGUCUGUUCAGGGUUUUGACUUCUUCCUGGUUUAGGCUUGGGAGGAUGCAAGUGUCCAGGAAUUUAUCCAUUUCUUCCAGGUUUACUAGUUUAUGUGCAUAGAGUUGUUUGUAAUAAUCUCUGAUUAUGGUUUAUAUUUCUGUGGAAUCUGUGGUGAUUUCCCCUUUAUCAUUGUUUAUUCCAUCUAUUCGUAUACACCAAUAACAGACUUAAAGAGAGCCAAAUCAAGAAUGAGCUGCCAUUCACAAUUGCUACAAAGAGAAUAAAAUACCUAGGAAUACAACUAACAAGGAACGUAAAGGACCUCUUCAAGGAGAACUACAAACCACUGCUCAAUGAAAUAAGAGAGGACACAAACAGAUGGAGAAACAUUCCAUGUUCAUGGUUAGAAAGAAUCAAUAUCAUGAAAAUGGCCAUACUGCCCAAAGUAAUUUACAGAUUCAACGCUAUCCCCAUCAAGCUACCAAUGGCCAUCUUCACAGAACUGGAAAAAACCACCUUGAACUUCAUAUGGAACCAAAAGAGAGCCUGCAUAGCCAAGUCAAUUCUAAGCAAAAAGAACAAAGCGGGAGGCAUCACACUACUGGACUGCAAACUAUACUACAAGGUUACAGUAAUCAAAACAGCAUGGUACUGGUACCAAAACAGAGAUAUAGACCAAUGGAACAGAAAGAACAGAGGCAUCGGCGAUAACACAACACAUCUACAAUCAUCCCAUCUUUGACAAAUCUGACAAAAACAAGCAAUGGAGAAAGGAUGCCCUGUUUAAUAAAUGGCGUUGGGAAAACUGGCUAGCCAUGUGCAGAAAGCGGAAACUGAACCCCUUCCUGACACCUUGCACUAAAAUUAACUCCAGAUGGAUUAGGAGUUAAUCCUUAAACAUAAGACCUAACACCAUAAAAACCCUAGAAGAAAAUCUAGGUAAAACUAUUCAGGACAUAGGUGUAGGCAAGGACUUCUUGAUCAAAACACCAAAAGAAUUGGCAACAAAAGCCAAAAUAGACAAAUGGGACCUAAUCAAACUUCACAGCUUCUGCACGGCAAAAGAAACAGUGAUUAGAGUGAAUUGGCAACCAACAGAAUGAAAAAAAAAUUUUUGCAGUCUACCCAUCUGACAAAAGGCUAAUAUCCAGAAUCUACAAAGAACUAAAACAGAUUUACAAGAAAAAACAAAUAAGCCCAUUCAAAAGUGGGCAAAGGAUAUGAACAGACACUUUACAAAAGAAGGUAUACAUGAGGCCAACAAACAUAUGAAAAAAUGCUCAUCAUCACUAAUCAUUAGAGAAAUGCAAAUCAAAACUACAUUGAGAUACCAUCUCACACCAGUUAGAAUGGUGAUCUUUAAAAAAUCUGGAGACAGAUGCUGGAGAGGAUGUGAAGAAGUCGGAACACUUUAACACUGUUGGUGGGAGUGUAAAUUAGUUCAACCAUUGUGGAAGACAGUGUGGUGAUUCCUCAAAGAUCUAGAAAUAGAAAUUCCAUUUGACCCAGCAAUUCCAUUACUGGGUAUAUAUCCAAAGGAUUAUAGAUUGUUCUACUAUAAGGACACAUGCACACGAAUGUUCACUGCAGCACUGUUUAUGAUAGCAAAAACCUGGAACCAACCCAAAUGCCCAUCCAUGAUAGACUGGAUGGGGAAAAUGUGGCACAUAUGCACCAUGGAACAUUAUGCAGCAAUCAAAAACGAUGAGUUUGUGUCCUUUGUAGGGACAUGGAUGAACCUGGAGACCAUCAUUCUCAGCAAUCUGACACAAGAACAGAAAAUCAAACCCCACAUGUUCUCAGUCAUAGGUGGGUGUUGAACAAUGAGAACACAUGGAUACAGG